UACAGGGGGGGCAAGCGUUGUUCGGAAUUACUGGGCGUAAAGGGCUCGUAGGUGGCCAACUAAGUCAGACGUGAAAUCCCUGAGCUUAACUGGGGAACUGCGUCUGAUACUGGAUGGCUUGAGUUUGGGAGAGGGAUGCGGAAUUCCAGGUGUAGCGGUGAAAUGCGUAGAUAUCUGGAGGAACACCGGUGGCGAAGGCGGCAUCCUGGACCAGCACUGACGCUGAGGUGCGAAAGCCAGGGGAGCAAACGGG
rnacentral:rRNA from 1 species